rnacentral:rRNA from 1 species
CUGCUGCCUCCCGUAGGAGUUUGGGCCGUGUCUCAGUCCCAAUGUGGCCGGUCACCCUCUCAGGUCGGCUACUGAUCGUUGCCUUGGUGAGCCGUUACCUCUCCAACUAGCUAAUCAGACGCGGGUCCAUCUCAUACCACCUCUAGUUUUUUCACACCAAACCAUGUCGGUUUUGUGCGCUUAUGCGGUAUUAGCAGUCUAUUUCUAACUGUUACUCCCCUGUAUGAGGCACGGUUACCCACGCGUUACUCCACCCGUCCG